AGACCUCCAAGGAAACAACAUCUCCAUCAUUUUCCAGAGCGAUUUUCAGAACUUAAAGGAUUUAAAAACACUGCAAUUAUCCGAAAACCAAAUACACACCAUCGAGCGAGAUGCAUUUCUGGAGCUCACCGCACUAGAGAGGCUGAAAUUGAACAAUAAUCGUCUGGGCCACUUGCCAGAAGGUCUUUUUAUGAGAUUGAGGCAUCUCCAGAGAUU